rnacentral:rRNA from 1 species
GAUGAACGCUGGCGGCGUGCCUAAUACAUGCAAGUCGAGCGAACAGACGAGGAGCUUGCUCCUCUGCCGUUAGCGGCGGACGGGUGAGUAACACGUGGAUAACCUACCUAUAAGACUGGGAUAACUUCGGGAAACCGGAGCUAAUACCGGAUAAUAUAUUGAACCGCAUGGUUCAAUAGUGAAUGACGGUUUUGCUGUCACUUAUAGAUGGAUCCGCGCCGCAUUAGCUAGUUGGUAAGGUAACGGCUUACCAAGGCAACGAUGCGUAGCCGACCUGAGAGGGUGAUCGGCCACACUGGAACUGAGACACGGUCCAGACUCCUACGGGAGGCAGCAGUAGGGAAUCUUCCGCAAUGGGCGAAAGCCUGACGGAGCAACGCCGCGUGAGUGAUGAAGGUCUUCGGAUCGUAAAGCUCUGUUAUUAGGGAAGAACAAAUGUGUAAGUAACUAUGCACGUCUUGACGGUACCUAAUCAGAAAGCCACGGCUAACUACGUG